GUUAAUAAUGAAUUUUUUUUUACUAAUAUAGUUCGAUACAUUUUAAUAAACAAACAUUUUAAUAAAUUUCAAUUAUUUACGAAACAAGAAUUAAGCAUUUUAAUAAGUUUAAGAUUUAAUAUGUUACUUUUAUGAUUUUAUGAGGGUGCAAUUUAUAAAAUUUUAAUUUUGGAAAGCAUUUAUAAUAUAUAACCGUUGGAAGUCGAAAGAGUUGGCUUUUUAUUCCCGCAAUAUAAACGUUCUUCAGCUAUCCCGCUCGAAUAACAUACCCAACCCGGGAGACCCAUGGCGAUCUCCGCUCCCCGGAACCUUCCUUCGCCGGAGAUCUAAGAAACCCUUGGAAUUCGAAAGGACUGGUUUGUAGUCGACCGUUAUAUUCGUCAUUCCGCUCUCAACAAACCCAAACACAACCAAACCCAUAGCGAUCUAUGUAACUACACUACCGGAGACGUAAGCACCCCUAACCCUCGCAGGAUACUCUCAUUCAUCUCUCUAGUCCAAAAAAUUAUCAAGAUCAUUGAUGGAUGAGAAGCUCACAUUGGACUUCUGGAUUAACCUUGCACUUUAUCAGUUUUGGCUGAAUGUUCUUAAUCAGGACAACUGAACAAGACAUAAUUCUGUAAGGUUGUUUCUUUUUUACUUAAAGAAAAAAGAAGGAAUUUAUGCAAAAUGUCAAGGAGAGAAGGCUUUCCCCAUUAGAGGUCUUGAAAUCUGCAUCUCUGUAUGGAGGUCUAGAUAUCCCUCCUCGUGGAGUCAGGGAGUUUCUUUCUACAGUUAAACAUGUCUUUAUUGUCAGCUUGGUGGUUUAUGCCCAAAACGGAUCUUUUUUGCAAUUUUGGUCCUGUUCAUAUUUCAUGGUUUCAUAACCCUUUUUACUACUACUUGGGUGGUCGUCAACUCUAACACAACAACCUAGAUGUUAAAUUCAUGAAAAUGACCAUUUUCUCAUCUCUUUUAUUUACAUUUUCAUAACUCUUUCCUUAAAAAAUGUUGUCAUGUAUGUUGAAGGAGCAUAACUAAACCCUAAAUCCCUUAAAUUAGAAUCUUUAUGAAAAUAUGCUACUCUUUCAUGGUGUCAUAAAUAUAAUGGGUUUGGUCUCUGGGGCAUAAAUAACUAUACCCUAAUCCCUGAAACGAUUAUCUAAUUUAAUAAUGUUUGUCUUUUUGGUACCUAUUUUAUGGUUUCAUAACGUUUUUGGUCCAUAAGUCGUCAACUUUUGCAACAGAUAUGUUAAAUUUCUGAACAUGCCCAUUUUGCCCCUGGUAUUCUUCAUCUCUUUCAUUUCCAUGUUCAAGUAAGGCCAACAAAAUUCAUAUCUUUUAUUUAAAAAAAUUGCGUCUGAUAUCUAAUGUGUUUAAAAGAUAUUUUCGUUCAUAAUAGGUCAUUUUUUGUUUCAGAUCAUCAGAAAGAUGCGGAUGUAUUUUCUUUUGAAUAGCAUUCAAAGAAGUUUGUCUUCAUUGAAGCUCCUUCCAAAAUCUCUUGCAAAUGAUGCCACCAUAGUUCCCGAAUACCCUCUGAUCCUCUCGAGCUGCUUUUAUUAUAUCAAAAAAUUAAAUUAAGAAAAGCUGCUUUUGUACCAAAAAUAGUUAGGAUUUGCUCUCUUAUAAUUGUUACAUGACAAACUUAUUAUUAUUCAUUUUCAUUUAUUUUUGGCAGUUUGAUAAGUUAUCACUGAUAUGGGGAAAGACACAGCAGAAUCCUUUGGGGGAUUAAAGAGAUAUACAGUCAGUGGUCCAUAAUUUUGUUGACAAUGCUACUAUGACAAGCAGUCAAGUUUCUUUUUUUGGCAUUGCUAAAUUUGGUCUAGCAUUCCCUCCUCUUUACAUCUCUAUAGUGGAUUCAAAGAGUUUCUUGCUACAGUUAAACAUGUCCUUAUCGACAGUUUGAUAAAUUAUCACUGGUAUGGGGAAAGCCACAACAGCAUCCAUUGGGGGUUAAAGAGGUCUUGAAAUAUGCAUCUUUUUAUGCUUCACUGCUAAAGCUAGAAGUGAUUGAUGAUGAUAAAGACAAUAGACUGUGAACUCAAUAUUGAGCUCAUAGUUAAAUGGAGACGUGUCGUGGAUAACUUAUAAAGGUCUGUAGCUUCCUGAGAAAGACAAAAAUUUGUAUACCAUAAGAGGCAGAGCAGUUCCUUUUUGUUUUAUCAUCGGGUCUACCAUUCCCUCCUCUUUACAUCUCUAUAGUGGAGUCACAGAGUUUCUUGCUACAGCUAAACCUGUCCUUAUUAUCAGUGCCACCAAAAUUGCAAAAAUCAGCUAUAUUUGGUGACCAAAAAUAGCCACUUUACUUUGGAACAGGGACCAUAAAUGUUACAAGAACCUCAAAUAAACACAUGUGAUUCGUGCAUACAGAAAUGCUCUUUCUGUUUUUAAAGGAACAACAUGGAUUCAUAUGCAGGAUCAUGUCCAUUUUCAUAUAGGAAUCAGGACAGUGGUAUUCUUUUCUUGGAAGGUUUGAUGUGGCAAAUAAACAAACAUUAGAAAUUGUGGCUUGUAGUCGUCAAUCAAAGCCAAUGUAAGAAUUUCGUUGAUGAAUGUGUGCUCUGAUCUGAUAGACAUGAGGAAACUCCUGAUUAGUUAUAUGUAUCAUAUCUUCCUUUGGCACACAUGUAACCAGAUCAUAUUGGCGUGUACUAUGGUGGCUCAGUUGGGUUUUAUUAUCAAUAAGGAGACAAGUUGAAAUUGUUGGAUGACAUGGCGGAAAUGAGUUGAACCUACUGUAUGUAUAUAACAGAGUAUAUGAUAUGAUGGGUGUGAUAAAUUUAUUUACUUUUCAAUCAGUAAGGUUUGUUGAUGUAGUGAAUUGUGACAUUUUAGUAUUUCUGGUGACAGUUCAUGUGAUCUUUGUAUGGCUUCACUGGUAAAAGCUACAAGUCACUGUUGAUGAUGAUAAAGACAUAGACUGUGAACUCGAUAUUGAGCUCAUAGUUGAAUAGCGUUUGAUAAGUUAUCACUGGUAUGGGGAAAGCCACAGCAGCAUCCUUUGGGGGUUGAAGAGGGCAUUGCUAUAAUUGGGUAGAUUUUUCUAAGGCUACUUACCACAAAGAUGAAGUGCAAGUGCAAAUGUAUGUAAGUCUCAAAGUGAAAGUCAAGGUCAAGGUCAAAAUGAAAGGAGGAGAAAGUCUCUCAAAAUGAUGCCUGCGUAGUUCACCCUGUCACCCUCUCGAGGAUAACUGGAGCAGUUAAGAGUUUCUAGCAAUCCGGAAAAAAAAGCCAAAUGACCAUUUACAAUUAAUUUUCUAAGGUACAAAACCAAACUUUACAAUGUUUUUUUUUUUUUCAAAAGAGAACUUUGCUGAUUGGUUAAUAUACAUGCAAAAUGUCUGAUAGGGUAUUAAUGAAAAAGCCAUGCAAAAUGUCUUAAAAACAAUAAUAUACUUUGAAAUUGAACCUGUUAUAGCAUCAUUUCAAAAGUUAAACUAUUAAGACAUUGACACUUACCAACUUUUUCCCUAUUAGAGCAUUGAACUUUGUUAAUUUUAAAAAUCAUAGCUGCACGUGGCCCAACUUAUAAAAACAUUGUAGUUUGAUUAUCUAACCAUCUAUAGCAUUAUACCUUCAAUUACAAUGUUUUACUUUUUAUUAUACUUCAAAUGUUUUAUAUUUUGAAAAUAUAAACUAUAAUAACAUUAUACUAUUGAUUUUUUUAUUUUUUUAUUUUUUUAUGCAGUUAAUAUCUAACCUUUUCAGACAUUCUACUUUUAAGUUCUAAAACUUGUUUGAGUUUGGUAACUAAUUAAAGCAUUACAGUUUCAAUUUGUUUUCUUCUUAAAAAGGCACCCUACUUUGAAAAUUUAACCAUUUCUCGUAUUGUUUUUUUAUCUUUUUAUCUUUUUUAUUCUAUUUUAGUUAUUUAUGGUUUUUCUAAUGUUUUUAUUUAUUUUGAUUUUCAAGUAAACAAACUUGAAUUCAUUAUAAAUUACUAUAACAAGUGUUUUUUUAUAGAGACAGACUCUUUUUUUUUGUUGUUCUUUCUUUUAGUCUAAUAUCAAAUUGAAAAAUAUUAUUUUGAAUUUGAACUAUUGAUUAUCACAUAUAGAAAUAUGAUUUAAUUUGCAAAUUAUAUAACACACUGAAACAUUAAUUCUUAAUAAACAAGCUAAUUUUUUGUAAUUUCCUUUUUUUUUGUAACAUAAAUAUAGUAACACUAAAGAAAAAAAGAAUAAAAAAAAAUAAGUUGGAUCGAAAUUACAAAUAUAAACAUAACUAUUUUAUUUACAUGAAUAAAAAUAAAAAAUUACAAAAACUAUAAAUUAACAAAAUAGUAAUAUACUCUAAUAUAUUAAUACAUUUUACAUUUUUUGAAAAAGGUCAAUAAAAAGUUAAAAAUACAAAUAAAUGGAAAACAAAUAAGAAAAAAAAUUAAAAAAAAAAAGAUGGAAAAAAUAAAAUAUAAGACGAAAAAAAAUAUGAAAAAAACUAAAAAAAAAACUGUAAUAUACUUUAUAUAUACACUAAAAAUAGAAAACAAAAGGUAAAAAUGUAUAAAAAAAUCAAAUUGUUGAAAAAUAAAGUUAAAAAUAAAUAUAAAUAAAGUAUAUAUAAAAAAAAGAAAAUAAAAAUGUAUAUAUCUUUAUAAAAAAACUGAAACUCAAUAAAGUGUUUAAAAAACCAAAAAUAAAGUUAAAAAACCAUGUGGUGUAAUUUUUUGCAAACCUCAGGAACCAAAUUUGAACUUUUUAGGACUAAUUUUGCAAUAAAGUUAACCAAUUUAACCAUGAAACUCGUUAAAUGAGCUAGGUGAUAAUUCUGCGAGAAAGUUGUGGCCAUAACAAUAAUAAAAAAAAUAUUUUAGUUUUUUCCAAUUACGCGUUAAAAAUUUAGGGCUUUUAUAUUAUUAGUCUAAUCGGUCCAUCAACAAUUUUAUAUAAAUUUUAUAAUAAUAUAAAACUAAUGAUACCUUUAUUUAUAUACAUUUAUUAGUAGUCCUAAAAUAUACAACAAUCUGCCACUGGACCACGGAUGUAUAAAUGUAUAUAUAACUAUAUAAACGCUUUAAUGAAUGUUAACAUAGUAUUGGCACUGUUAAACAUUUUCGUCCACUAAUCAUACAAGUAUAGGAUAAAUCGGUCUUCGUUACAAUUUAUGCAUCUAAACCCAUCAAUGGUCACCAUAUAUACAUAUAUAACUAACGACAUAGAUUAAACAUGAUGUGUGGUUUUAAAAUAUAAAUAGUUUUCCAACGAGUUUUUCUUUAGAUUGAAGUGAGAUCAAACUUCAAAUAAGUGCAACGAAUAAUGAAGUUAACCAAAUUCUUAAUUCUGUAUAGAAAAACAUAAUUGUUCUUGAACAAAACAUAAAGCACCAUAAAACUCCCACUAAAACCAAAUAUCACACCAACGUGUGUGUAUGUUCUGUUGUUGGAAUAUAACAUUGUUGAUUUAUUAUUUCAACUUUAGUGGUCUUUCAAUACCAAUAACGUGUAGCCUCGUGACAAAUUUUUGCAACCAUAUUCUAUGCUACAAAUUAUUAUGUCAUUAUGGAAGAAGCUACCGAAGUCUAUUCCAUGAAAUGACUCAUUAUGCUAAAUGUAAAAGUAUCCCGAUGUGGACCGGUAACCAUUUUGGCAUCUAACAAAAUCAAAUUCUUAAAAAAAAUGAUCUCUAAACCAUCUGAUUUCCUAUAGUUGACCAUAUAGCCUUUUGUUGUAUAUAGAUAUCUCAAAAUCUUUUUAGCUACUUUCUUAUGAUCCAAACUUGGGUUGCGUAGAUAUCUGCCAAAAACCAAAAAGAUAAAUUUACUUCUACUUAAUUUGUCAUACACAAAAUCAGCUACUUAUUUACCUCAAAACCAAAAGAGAUAAUAAAUUGAUGAAAAAUGUGGUACCACGCAUAGGAUAUCUAAAGUUGAGGUUGUUGAGUUUGUGUAUUGAAAAUAGGAGAUUGAAUAACAUUGUCGAUCACUGAUUCAUAAUCUACAUACUAUCGAAAGCAAUAAUAGAAAUCAAGAUUGAUUCCUCUAUAAGGACAAUGUUUUAACCUUGUUUCUCUCCCAAACUCAACAUCCUCUAAGAAUGUUGUUUUAUCCAAAAUACAAAGUCAAUAUCCAUGCAAUUGAGAAUUAACAUAAUGCCCUUGUUCCCUUCCUUAAAGUUAAAAUUCAAAUUUGUUUUUUUAGAACAUAAGCAAAUCUAUUUUUAUGUUCAUUAAUCUAUAAACCGUAAUCAGUAAAUUCAAAUUUUGACCUUUUUACAAGGUAUCAACACAACAUUAAGUCUUUGGAUAGUAAUACUAAUUUGCAAGAGAUAUCAUUGUUUUAGAAAUAAACAUUGUCAAUAAAUCAUGUCAAUUAACAAGCCUCUCUUUGAAGUGAGUUGUUAAUCACACGAAACCAAAAAAAUUGUCACAUGUUUAUUAACACAUAUAUGUUUAUUCGGCCAAAUAUUAGUCUACUUUUGGGUUGGCUAAUACCCGCAUUAAUAAAAACAUAAACUAUAAAUUUUGAUAAUAAGAAUUAACAAUAUAUCAUGUCAAUUAAUAAGCCCCUCUUUGGAUUGACUUAUUAAUGACAUGUAACCUAAAAUUUUUCACAUAUUUAUCAUCAAACAUAUGUUUAUUCGGCCAAUGUUAACCUACCUUUGGGUCGAUUAAUAUCCGCAUUAAUAAACACAAACCAUAAAAUUUAAGUUCUUUGUAAAUUAAUUUUCACAAAAAGAUCAUUUUGACGAUAUAUUGUGUCAAUUAAUUUACCUUAAAAAUAAAUACUAUGUCAAAUGAAAUUUAUCAAUAACCUAAAAAUACGUUUAUAAAUUUCCAUAAACGCUAUUGCAUGUUUUCAUGAAACCAAAGUUUGAUAAUAUAAUGAAAAACAUUAUCAUACAAGCCGACCAUAUUAAAAUUACCAAUUUAAUUAAACGGUUCCAUACAAUGUUAGCAAGACUUAGAUUAAAUUGCAAACAAAAAUAAUAAAAGAAAUUCGAACUUCCUUAUGUUAAUGUUUUAAGGUUGCAACCUAAGCCAAAGUUGGAUCAUAACAACCAAUUAAAACUCACUUUCAGCAUAACAUAAAAGCAAGAAAUUUAUUUUCAUAAUACUAUAUUGGAGAUCAAAUUAAAUUGAGCAAUUUCAUACACCAUAAUUUUAAAUAUAAUCGUACCAUAAUUUCAUAAUCUAAAUAUUUAAAAUUAUGGUAAAAAAAAAUUGCCACAUCAUUGUAAAGUUAAUUCUUAUAUACAUGUCAACUUGCGACCAUUUGCUACUUAAAUAAAAUUUGCAACAAAGGUAUGCUUAACAUACACAAUUGUAUUUAGCCACAAAAAGAUAAAAUAUAAUAACAAUAAUAAUAAUAAUUAAAAAUAAACCAAAUUGUAAAUAGCAAAGACUGCUACAUACCCUAAUGUCUGCAGUUUUACCAAAAGUUGGAAAAAGACAUGUGGAUAAAACUUUAAACAAAUACGGACGUGUUUAAAAGAAAGGGAAAAUGACAUAUAUGCCUUAUUAUGUUUCUAGGGUUGACCCAUUGAGUCAUUAUCUUAUUUUUUGGCUUUAUAAGGGAACGAGUUACACUUUGUCGGGUCGAUUAAGUUCUUAUUUCAUUUGUGAAGGGGUCGGCCGAUCAUUUUUAGUCAACCUCUGUUUAGUAACGCCACAUAGGAUGCUGACCGUGUCUUCCGUAUAAUGCUGACUGUGCUAUUAAUUAUUCACUUCCUUCUUACUGUCGGUAUAUGCUUUACAAAAGUGCCCUUUUGACCUCCAUUGUUCAUAGCUUCAUCGAUAAACCCUUUGUUGUUUUCUGCUCCCGAAACCUCAAACAUGGAACUUGUAUUCUUACAAGUAGAUGUGCACGUCCAAGGAAUUUUUGCCAAAUACCCCAUAUGCUACAUCGGUGGAAUUACUCAGAGGUUUUUUGUACAACG